rnacentral:rRNA from 1 species
GACGAACGCUGGCGGCGUGCUUAACACAUGCAAGUCGAACGAUGAAGCCUAGCUUGCUAGGUGGAUUAGUGGCGAACGGGUGAGUAAUACGUGAGUAACCUAUCUUUAACUCUGGGAUAAGCCCGGGAAACUGGGUCUAAUACCGGAUACGACCAAUCUCCGCAUGGGGUGUUGGUGGAAAGCGUUAUGUAGUGGUUAUAGAUGGGCUCACGGCCUAUCAGCUUGUUGGUGAGGUAACGGCUCACCAAGGCGACGACGGGUAGCCGGCCUGAGAGGGUGACCGGCCACACUGGGACUGAGACACGGCCCAGACUCCUACGGGAGGCAGCAGUGGGGAAUAUUGCACAAUGGGCGCAAGCCUGAUGCAGCGACGCCGCGUGAGGGAUGACGGCCUUCGGGUUGUAAACCUCUGUUAGCAGGGAAGAAGAGAGAUUGACGGUACCUGCAGAGAAAGCGCCGGCUAACUACGUG